rnacentral:rRNA from 1 species
GACGUAGGGGGCGAGCGUUGUCCGAAGUUACUGGGCGUAAAGCGCGCGUAGGCGGCCUCUUAAGUUGGGUGUGAAAUCCUGCGGCCCAACCGCAGAACUGCAUCCAAAACUGGGAGGCUUGAGGACGGAAGAGGGCAGUGGAAUUCCUGGUGUAGCGGUGAAAUGCGUAGAUAUCAGGAGGAACACCCGUGGCGAAGGCGGCUGCCUGGUCCGUAUCUGACGCUGAGGUGCGAAAGCCCGGGGAGCGAACGGG